GGCUGUCAGCACAAGGUACAACCCUGGCCAUCUCCAGAACACAGCCUCUGUGUGCUGACUCUGAGGAAACACUUCCCAGAAGACUUCACCUCAAUGACGCUGGCCUCAUCAUAAACACAGCUGCUUCCUCAUCCCCAUAGCUUGCUAGCAUUUUAUAACCACCGUAAAUUAUAUUACACCCAAUAAAAGCUUUUUCCGGUGACAAUCAGCAUAAAAACAUCAGCUAUACACUGCAGAUUUAAAGGAAAGUACUGCUGAGUAUU